ACUCAAAUGAAUAGACGGGGGCCCGCACAAGCGGUGGAUGAUGUGGUUUAAUUCGAUGCAACGCGAAAAACCUUACCUACCCUUGACAUGGCAGGAACGCUGCUGAGAGGUGGCGGUGCCCGAAAGGGAGCCUGCACACAGGUGCUGCAUGGCUGUCGUCAGCUCGUGUCGUGAGAUGUUGGGUUAAGUCCCGCAACGAGCGCAACCCUUGCCACUAGUUGCUACGAAAGGGCACUCUAGUGGGACUGCCGGUGACAAACCGGAGGAAGGUGGGGAUGACGUCAAGUCCUCAUGGCCCUUAUGGGUAGGGCUACACACGUCAUACAAUGGCGCAUACAGAGGGUUGCCAAGGCGCGAGCUGGAGCCAAUCCCACAAAGUGCGUCGUAGUCCGGAUUGCACUCUGCAACUCGAGUGCAUGAAGUCGGAAUCGCUAGUAAUCGCGGAUCAGCAUGUCGCGGUGAAUACGUUCCCGGGCCUUGUACACACCGCCCGU
rnacentral:rRNA from 1 species